rnacentral:rRNA from 1 species
UACGUAGGGGGCAAGCGUUGUCCGGAUUUAUUGGGCGUAAAGAGCGUGUAGGCGGCCAUGCAGGUCAGCUGUGAAAACUCGAUGGCUCAACCUCGAGAUGUCGGUUGAAACCGUGUGGCUAGAGUCCGGAAGAGGAGAGUGGAAUUCCCGGUGUAGCGGUGAAAUGCGCAGAUAUCGGGAAGAACACCCGUGGCGAAAGCGGCUCACUGGACCACAACUGACGCUGAGGCGCGAAAGCUAGGGGAGCAAACAGG